GCACACUAGACUGAGGGAUAUCCUUCCAAAAACUGAGAUUAAAAAGGCACUGAAAGAAAAAAUUGAUCAGAACAAACAUUCACCAGAACAAAUAAUUGAAGACAUAAUGCUUCAAACCACUGACUUAGAGAAGAACCAAAAAAACGAAUCCCAGAAUGCACUGGGUAUGAUUAAUGGAUUCAAGGAACUACACCCAAAACUUUCCAAGAAACUUCAAAAAACAGGUGGUGUACUUCAUUUCUCCUGUGUCCAUGGUGUUGUUUAUUAUAUCAAUUUUCUUUUCUGGAUGGAGUCAGCAAGGGACCAUGCAGAUGGCUUGCUAAGUUUUAAGCACGUUCCAACCUGUUACAUUUCUGAUAUGGCUGGUGAGGUUGCCAGCCACACUAAUGACCGAACUAAUCAGAUGUUUUU